UUGGUAGUGUAUAUAUGUCCAUGCCACUCUCUCACUUUGUCCCAGCUUACCCUUCCCCCUCCCCGUAUCCUCAAACCCAGAGAUCUUUCUGAACUAGUAAAUUCAUCUUUUUGAACAAUCGUGUAAAUGCUUACUAUUUUCCAGGCACCAUUUGGGACUUUCACUUAAUACAAUGGCUUUGUUAAAUGGAUGUAAUUAUCAAAAUAUAUAGAAAGGAGAUUAGGACAAUUCACUUGGAGAAAAGAAGACUGUGGAAAGAAAUAACACUCGAAAUAUUUGAAGAAUUGACAUAUAAAUAAGGAUGAGAGCUGUUUGCUGAGACGGUGUCUUAGCCAAGGAAAGUAAAGAGAAGAACACUUCUUCACAGGCUUGGGGGAGUCACAGCCAGAAGUGAUGUCCCAGUUGCACCACUGGGCAGCUUUGGCAGAGAUGCUGUUGUUUUCAUGGCCAAGUAUGGACACCGCAGAUUGCACUGCCAACAUGGCACAUGUAUUCCAUCAGGAAGACUUCUGUUGGUCUGUCCCUGGACCCAAGACGUCUCUGGCCACUCUACUGAACAGAAAUCCAGGAGGAGCUUACGUCUUCAUGUUGCAACCUUCCAAAAUUGAAGUCUUAAGAGUAGAGGCAGAAUUGCCAUGAAGCUUAAGCUCAAGGCCGCUCACUUGCCACGCCCUGGGUAUGACAAUGUAUUCA